rnacentral:rRNA from 1 species
UGGGUAACCUGCCUCAAAGAGGGGAAUAGCCUCCCGAAAGGGAGAUUAAUACCGCAUAAUAUGUUUAAGUCGCAUGACUUUAACAUCAAAGGAUUUUCUUUUAGAAAUUCCACUUUGAGAUGGACCCGCGGCGCAUUAGCUAGUUGGUGAGGUAACGGCUCACCAAGGCAACGAUGCGUAGCCGACCUGAGAGGGUGAUCGGCCACAUUGGAACUGAGACACGGCCCAGACUCCGUAGGAGG